UACGGAGGGUGCAAGCGUUAUCCGGAAUCAUUGGGUUUAAAGGGUCCGCAGGCGGAUUUAUAAGUCAGUGGUGAAAGCCCGUCGCUCAACGACGGAACUGCCAUUGAUACUGUAAGUCUUGAAUUCGAUCGAAGUGGGCGGAAUAUGACAUGUAGCGGUGAAAUGCUUAGAUAUGUCAUAGAACACCGAUAGCGAAGGCAGCUCACUACACGAAUAUUGACUCUGAGGCACGAAAGCGUGGGGAUCAAACAGG
rnacentral:rRNA from 1 species